AGACACAGGGAUUGCCCUAGUAACGGCGAGUGAAGCGGCAACAGCUCAAAUUUGAAAUCUGGCUCCUUUGGGGUCCGAGUUGUAAUUUGCAGAGGGUGCUUUGGCGUUGGCGGCGGUCUAAGUUCCUUGGAACAGGACAUCACAGAGGGUGAGAAUCCCGUACGUGGUCGCCUGCCUUCGCCGUGUAAAGCCCCUUCGACGAGUCGAGUUGUUUGGGAAUGCAGCUCUAAAUGGGAGGUAAAUUUCUUCUAAAGCUAAAUACCGGCCAGAGACCGAUAGCGCACAAGUAGAGUGAUCGAAAGAUGAAAAGCACUUUGGAAAGAGAGUCAAACAGCACGUGAAAUUGUUAAAAGGGAAGCGCUUGCAGCCAGACUUGCCUGUAGUUGCUCACCCGGGCUUUUGCCCGGGGCACUCUUCUGCAGGCAGGCCAGCAUCAGUUUGGGCGGUCGGACAAAGGCCUCUGACACGUACUUCCUCUCGGGGAUGACAUAUAGGGGAGGCGUAAUGCGACCAGCCUGGACUGAGGUCCGCGCAUCUGCUAGGAUGCUGGCGUAAUGGCUGUAAGCGGCCCGUCUUGAAACACGGACCAAGGAGUCUAACAUCUAUGCGAGUGUUUGGGUGUCAAGCCCGAGCGCGUAAUGAAAGUGAACGGGAGGUGGGAACC
rnacentral:rRNA from 1 species